UACGUAGGGUGCGAGCGUUAAUCGGAAUUACUGGGCGUAAAGCGCGUUCAGGCGGUUUGGCAAGUCGGGCAUGAAUCUCUCGGCUCAACCGGGAGAGGUUGUCCGAUACUGCUGGACUUGAGGGCAGUAGAGGGUGGUGGAAUUCCGGGUGUAGUGGUGAAAUGCGUAGAUAUCCGGAGGAACACCAGUGGCGAAAGCGGCCACCUGGACUGCACCUGACGCUGACACGCGAAAGCUAGGGGAGCGAACGGG
rnacentral:rRNA from 1 species